ensembl:miRNA
UUCUUUGUGCGUUACCCUACUCCAAAGAGGGCAAUCAUGUGUCAUAAAGUGUGAUUGACAGCUUUGUGAGUGGAGUAACACAUGACAU